GACGAACGCUGGCGGCGUGCUUAACACAUGCAAGUCGAACGGAAAGGCCCUGCUUGCAGGGUACUCGAGUGGCGAACGGGUGAGUAACACGUGGGUGAUCUGCCCUGCACUUCGGGAUAAGCCUGGGAAACUGGGUCUAAUACCGGAUAGGAGCCCUUUUUAGUGUGAUGGUUGGAAAGUUUUUUCGGUGUAGGAUGAGCUCGCGGCCUAUCAGCUUGUUGGUGGGGUAAUGGCCUACCAAGGCGGCGACGGGUAGCCGGCCUGAGAGGGUGGACGGCCACAUUGGGACUUAGAUACGGCCCAGACUCCUACGGGAGGCAGCAGUGGGGAAUAUUGCACAAUGGGCGCAAGCCUGAUGCAGCGACGCCGCGUGGGGGAUGACGGCCUUCGGGUUGUAAACUCCUUCCGCUAGGGACGAAGCUUUUUGUGACGGUACCUAGAUAAGAAGCACCGGCUAACUACGUG
rnacentral:rRNA from 1 species